rnacentral:rRNA from 1 species
AACAUAGGUGGCGAACGUUAUCCGGAUUUAUUGGGCGUAAAGGAUGCGUAGAUGGUGGAAUAAGUUAUCGGUAGAAGUCGAGCUCAACUCGAUAGAAGCUAGUAAUACUGUUCUACUUGAGGAUAGGAGAGGUUAGCGGAAUUCUAUGCGUAGGGGUGAAAUCCAUUGAUCUAUAGAGGACCACCAAAAAGGCGAAGGCAGCUAACUAUUCUGCUCCUGACAUUGAGGCAGUAGAAAGCGGAUGGGGAGCAAAACGG